UUUUGUAUGGAUUCAGUGCUUGCUGAAUAAUGGUGUGGUUGUAACCCAACACAGGUCUGCCACGUGCUGCUUGCAGAGUCCAGUGACAAGUGCAAGAAAUGAAGAAUUCUCUCCUAUUCAUCUGGUUUUGGAUUCCGUUUCAAAAUGGAGUCUCACUCUAUUGGAGUACAACUGUGUGAUCCUGGUUCACUGGCAACCUCCGCCUCCUGGGUUCAAGCGAUUCUCCUGCCUCAGCCUUCCAAGUAGCUGGGACUGCAGGCACUUCCCACCACGACCAGCUAAUUUUUGUAUUUUUAGUAGAGACAGAGUUUCACCAUGUUGGCCAGGCUGGUCUUGAACUCCUGACCUCAAGUGAUCCGCCUGUCUCAGCCUCCCAAAGUGCUGGGAUUACAGGCAUAAGCCACCACGCCUGGCCCAUAACUUCUUUCUUUUAGUAAAGAGUCAUGCACACCUCUUGAAUUUCUUCUCAGCUUUCCUGCCAUCCGUGUGAUUUUGAACGAGGAAUCUUAAGAAUACAAGGUGAGAAUUUGCCUUAUUUGUCACCAUGCAGCUUGGUUCUGUCAUCUUCC